CCAAUUUUAAACCAAAAAAAAAUCCAAACCAAAUUAUAUUUAUUUUAUAGUUUGGUUUUUGAUCCAAUCCAUUUAAAUGGUUUUAAACCGGAUCCAAAUCCAUAUCCAAAUUAAAUUAAAAUCCAGAUCUAAAAAAACCCUAAUUUUGAUUUUUGAGUCUUCUCCUCUUCGACAAAUCCCCUUCAACGAAACCAAAUCCACUCUCCGACAAAUCCACCGUCAACAUUUCUUCUUCUCUGUCUCUCGUCGGAGCUCGCCGGUGGUUCGUCGGCCUCUACCUCUUCGAGUCUUCAGUCUUCACUUUGAUUCGAGACUCUGUCUCUCUGCCUCGAGUCCUCGACCUCCCAUUCGCGACUCUGUCUUCUCUCUUUUUCGGUUCUCUUCUUCUUUCGUUGGUGGCUCACCGGAGCUCAUGCUCAUCAAUUGAGAUUUUAAAAUCUCUCAGUAUUGAACAUUUGAACUCUCCAUUUCAAUGGAUCGUGCUGUGAUGUUCCUUGUGAAAAUUCACUGUUAAGACAAGUGUCAAGUCUCCUGAUAAGAUUGCCUGCUAUUGAAUCUGGGAAAUUUCAAGAUGAUUUCUUAAUGGUUUUGUUUACAUGUUGUAGAUCUUGAUCCAUCAUCUGUUACAUCUGGUGGCUGGCUGGAAGAUACUUCAUUGGUG